rnacentral:rRNA from 1 species
AACUAUUAAAGAAUUUCGGUCAUCGAUGGGGAUGCGUUCCAUUAGCUUGUUGGCGGGGUAACGGCCCACCAAGGCAUCGAUGGAUAGGGGUUCUGAGAGGAAGGUCCCCCACAUUGGAACUGAGACACGGUCCAAACUCCUACGGGAGGCAGCAGUGAGGAAUAUUGGUCAAUGGGCGCUAGCCUGAACCAGCCAAGUAGCGUGAAGGAUGACUGCCCUAUGGGUUGUAAACUUCUUUUAUAUGGGAAUAAAGUGCAGUAUGUAUACUGCUUUGCAUGUACCUUAUGAAUAAGGAUCGGCUAACUCCGUGCCAGCAGCCGCGGUAAUACGGAGGAUCCGAGCGUUAUCCGGAUUUAUUGGGUUUAAAGGGAGCGUAGGCGGGUUGUUAAGUCAGUUGUGAAAGUUUGCGGCUCAACCGUAAAAUUGCAGUUGAUACUGGCAUCCUUGAGUACAGUAGAGGUAGGCGGAAUUCGUGGUGUAGCGGUGAAAUGCUUAGAUAUCACGAAGAACUCCGAUUGCGAAGGCAGCCUGCUGGACUGUAACUGACGCUGAUGCUCGAAAGUGUGGGUAUCAAACAGGAUUAGAUACCCUGGUAGUCCACACAGUAAACGAAGA